UCCUCAUUAUACGAGUACACAGCUGGUUGUGAGUUUUUAGAUCUUACUUAUAUUUUGCACCGUUACAGCAGGGUCCGAGAGUUGUGCGAAUUGCGUAUGAACGGCGAUGUAAAGCGGUGACAAUUCAUUAAAGCGAUUGCCAAUUUUAAAAUUACAUAGCGAUCGUCGGUUGCAACACAGCUGGAUAACCAACUUAACAACAAUUUGAUUUAAAUUGCACACAUUUAAGCCAUUGAUGCACUAGCGGUGCCCAUGCGGCUAUAUGGCGAUCGCACUGGAACUAACACUUGAUUAACGAUAAUUGUGCAUAGUCAUUGAUUCAAUGCGUAUAAUUUUUUGGCAAAGGCCUGCUUGCAUACAUACAGGCACAGGUUUUCGGAAAAUAUUAUUAUGGCCACAGAACCGGUUCCCUGUGAAAUAAGAAAGAGAUUUGAACUAAAAGGAUAUUGCUCGGCAAUCUUUCUCGACGUUGCUCAAGCAAUUCACAAGUAACGGCACGAAGGGGUUUUACACAAGACUACCUCGCUGAAAGACAGUUCACUGUAUGGGUAAUUUUUUUUAUUACUGAAGAAUUUCCGAUAUCGGCAUACUAUAUACUCGUUGACGAAAUAAAAAAUAGCAGAGAAAAAUAUCUAAAAAAACAUUGCAGGCUAACUCGUACCCUCUUGCUACUCACCGCCGGCAUAGCACGAAGUUCGCCCGCGUUAGAUGGAUACGUAACCAAACAAGCCUAGGCAACGAGGUAAUUGGAAUUUAAAUUGGAUUGAGAUUAAAAUGUGAGGGUUAAAUAUAGUUAAAAAGAAUUCAGUAA